AUUUUGUAGAGAGAGAAAUAUAGCUGAUUUGAACCCUGUGGCCAUAUUUGCAUAUGCAGACAUUUUCCAAUGUGAUAAAAGCCUCGAGAAUCCCAUCUGUAUUGACUUUAGUAUAGAGAGAUCUGAUGAAAGUUUCACCGGGUAAUACCUUCUACUUUGUUUGCAGUUGGUACAUGAUUUAUGUUUCCAUGGAGGAGCCAAGUUUCCGAUCUGCCCCCAGGGGAUUUUGAGGUUGAAGUCUCCAAGACUGCCCAUGGCUUUGAAGACUUUACUAUUCCCUUAUAUAUGUUCACGCCAUAAAAAGCAAGAUACGCGCUCCCAAAUUUGAAAUGCUUACCAUCCAGAGGUGAAAGCACCCCAGGUCCGUGCUCCUGGGCAGUCCAGAAUUCUCCAUGACCGCCUCUGCCACUACAAUUGGAAAGCUAGAGAGAGGCAGAUUACUGGACAGGUUUUCACGCACUGAGUUGUUACCGCUGACUUACACUCUUAUUUCCGGCUCUCCAGCGGUCAGUAAUCAAGCAAAGAGGACACUCCUGCAUUUUUUCAGAGUCUCAGGUGGGUCUUUUAUCUUGAAGCAGAACUGGUUGAUGCGAACAUGUGAUGCAGUAAGACAGUGCUGUGAUAAGUUCCGUAAUUAACCAUGUUUCAUCGGAAAAACAAGUGUUUCCUUUGUCUGAACACUAGACGUUUUCACCUGUGCAUCUUCAUGCUGACACAGGGCAGAUCAAACGCUGUGAACGUGUCUACACACCAAGCCCGAGCGCUUGCUGAUGCCCGAGCUCUGAUUCAGGGAUCACGUUAUCAGAGCCACCGUGUGAGGUGGGAUGUAUGAUUUCACACCCUUGAAUGUGGUCAGUUGGCGUUGUCCCCAAAGUGUGAUGUAGCUGAGGGCUCCCUUCACUCUAUGCCACUUCUUUCCUCCUGUGGUCCAAUGCAGUUGGUACUUUAUUUUCUGCUUCAUGGAGAUGCCUUGGGGGUCUAGGACUUGGCGUUAAAUUUUUAUGUGACCCUGGUACUUAGACAUGUAGACUUUUCUAGCUCCAAGCUACUCUGGCCUGUGUUUUGACAGAGUCCUAGGGAUGGUAGGCUUGGCAGGACAGAGGACGGCCAACAGAUGCUGUUCUUUGUGGAUUUCUGAAAACUACAAUUAAAGUCGAUUGGAUUUGGAAACUGCUGCUCAACAUUUUAUGAGCUGGUUUCUAAAGCCAGGUUUAAAUCCCGAAUUUCACCAGGUUCACACAAAGUGUGUGUGGAUGUUAUAGAUCUAUUGUGGUUGCUGGUCCACACACGGAAGGCAGCGAACAUCCAGAACACGGGCCCAGCCCUUGCCCUCAUCCUCAUUCCACUCUUGGACCUUCUGCAGUAGAGUAGACAAGGCGGGAGGAGGGGAAACCAUGCAUCUCAGAGAGAGGAUAUCAUUUAGCUGCCAAGUAAGACGAACAUCUUUUGAAUUGGAAAACCACCACAGGUCGCCAUGGAGACUUUUGGUUCCUGCAUCACACAAUUUAGCAUGAUUUGAUUUCUUGAAUGCACAGAUGAUUCUUAAAAUAUAGAUGUGCAUCUGGGUGGUGUAUGGUCUGAUCUAUACUGGGGCAGGCUGCAGCAUCCCUCUAUUAUUUAACAUGAAUCAGAAGAUCU
rnacentral:lncRNA from 12 species